rnacentral:rRNA from 1 species
GAUGAACGCUAGCUACAGGCUUAACACAUGCAAGUCGAGGGGUAGCAUGUUGGUUGCUUGCAACCGAUGAUGACGACCGGCGCACGGGUGAGUAACGCGUAUCCAACUUGGCUUAUACUUAGGGAUAACCCGUUGAAAGACGGCCUAAUACCUAAUGGUUUAUAAUAGUUGCAUGACUUUUAUAAUAAAGAUUUAUCGGUAUAAGAUAGGGAUGCGUCUGAUUAGUUAGUUGGUGAGGUAACGGCUCACCAAGGCAUCGAUCAGUAGGGGUUCUGAGAGGAAGGUCCCCCACAUUGGAACUGAGACACGGUCCAAACUCCUACGGGAGGCAGCAGUGAGGAAUAUUGGUCAAUGGACGUAAGUCUGAACCAGCCAAGUAGCGUGCAGGAUGACGGCCCUAUGGGUUGUAAACUGCUCUUAUGUGAGAAUAAAGUUAACUACGUGUAGUUAUUUGCAUGUAUCACAUGAAUAAGGACCGGCUAAUUCCGUGCCAGCAGCCGCGGUAAUACGGAAGGUCCAGGCGUUAUCCGGAUUUAUUGGGUUUAAAGGGAGCGUAGGCCGUUUGGUAAGCGUGCUGUGAAAUUUAGAGGCUCAACCUCUACCGUGCAGCGCGAACUGUCAGACUUGAGUGCGUAGUAGGUAGGCGGAAUUCGUGGUGUAGCGGUGAAAUGCUUAGAUAUCACGAAGAACUCCGAUUGCGAAGGCAGCUUACCGUAUCGCAACUGACGCUGAUGCUCGAAGGUGCGGGUAUCGAACAGGAUUAGAUACCCUGGUAGUCCGCACAGUAAACGAUGGAUGCUCGCUGUUGGCUUUUAUAGUCAGUGGCUUAGCGAAAGCGUUAAGCAUCCCACCUGGGGAGUACGCCGGCAACGGUGAAACUCAAAGGAAUUGACGGGGGCCCGCACAAGCGGAGGAACAUGUGGUUUAAUUCGAUGAUACGCGAGGAACCUUACCCGGGCUUGAACUGCAGGAGAACGAUUCAGAGAUGAUGAGGUCCUUCGGGACUCCUGUGGAGGUGCUGCAUGGUUGUCGUCAGCUCGUGCCGUGAGGUGUCGGCUUAAGUGCCAUAACGAGCGCAACCCCUUUUCUUAGUUGCCAUCGGGUGAUGCCGGGCACUCUGAGGAUACUGCCACCGUAAGGUGUGAGGAAGGUGGGGAUGACGUCAAAUCAGCACGGCCCUUACGUCCGGGGCUACACACGUGUUACAAUGGGGCAUACAGAGUGUUGGUUGCAUGUAAAUGUAAUCUAAUCUUUAAAGUGCUUCUCAGUUCGGACUGGGGUCUGCAACCCGACCCCACGAAGCUGGAUUCGCUAGUAAUCGCGCAUCAGCCAUGGCGCGGUGAAUACGUUCCCGGGCCU